UGAAACCAAAAGAUAGUUUAAAACUCCUCAUCAGUAAUUAAAACAAAACAAUAAUCCAUAAUACUCAUUACAUUGUCAAAAUCCAAACUUAAUCAAAACAAGGUAAUAGUGGAGCGCCUAAGACAUCGAAUCAAACAGCCUUGAAAGAUAAACAAGGCAUACUGACCCAAAACUGAAGAAGCAGGAACACUCAACAAGGUUCACCUGCUAUCAGAAACUAAGAACCUGAAAUAAUAUUAAGAAUGAGGGGUGAGUUCAACCAACUCAGUGAGGGAAUAAUAAUUAAUAUACAUUUUAGAUAUUCUUGAUAUUAAUAGUUCGCAAGAUCAUCAUUUAUCUUGAUGUACAUAUACAUAUACAUAUACAUAUACAUAUCAUAUACAUACUAAACGUAUCAUCAUAACGUAGUGGACUAUAUGUCAGAGAUCAGAUGACACCCGAAGGUGACCAGAUGACACCCGAAGGUGACCAGAUGACACUCGAAAGUGACCAGAUGACACCCGAAGGUGACCACUGUGGGAUGAUCAGUCACCACAGGCUGAUGCCUCUCUCACCAGCUAGGUAUACAUACAGAAUACUAUGUGCACAUAGGCUAACUACUCUCCGUUAGCAUGGAGUUACUGACAAGUCCCAUAUCAAGACAUAAUAGAUAUUCACAUAAUCAUCAAAGAAACGUAUAUCAUAUCAAAUAGGAUUUACUUUGACAGAUUGCGAGUGCAAAUUCAAGAAUAAAUGAGUACUCGGAAAAUAAGCAACAUAUAUAAUUAUUCAAGGAAUUAACGAGUUGUACUCAUUGUAUAAUCAACAUACAUAUUUACUUAUCAUAUAUGCAUAUUAAAGAUUAUCCCACUCACCCGGAAAAUAUAGAACUAAAGGAAUGUCAGACGAAAGACCCGAAAAUCCUAUUGAGGAUCGUUAGGAGAACCUACAACAAUAUGAAAAUAUACUCAAAAGCAACUCAAACAAGAGAUCCCAAUGCAUAAAAUAAAACCAGGUUUAGUCUCCUAAGUUUAUGGACUAAAACGACAAUUUUCCAAAACAGGGACCAAAACGUAAUUUUACCAAAACUGGACCAAUCUGGAAAAUACAUAACUAUACUGAAUUUUCACCCAUAAACCAUCCUUAAUUCUGUCUAGAACGAACCAGGGACCGAACUGUAAUUUUCAUAAAGUUCAGGGACUAAAAUGUAAAUUCCCAAAAUUGAGGGACCAAACUGAAAAUAUUCCAAAUCAAUUAUCAAACUCAGAUUCAUCAUCCUUAACCUCAUAUAACACUGUCCAGAAUCUCAAAAUACAAGUAGGGGUCAAAUUAUAAUUUUCCCAAAGUUUAGGGACUAAACUGUAAUUUCACAAAUUGAGGGACCAAAUUGAAUUUUCGUCAUCUUCAACCUCAAACCCAGAAUUUCACAGAUUACCUACUGUCAUCUACUGAAUUCUAACACAAUUUCACCAUUCAAAUAAAAUCAUAACUCAAAAUUAUCAUCUUUACCUACAAUCUCUCACAAUCAACUAAUUAACCAAUUACCCAUAACAAUCAACCCAUAACCUUCCAAUUAAUUCAUCACUCAAACUCAAAACACAAUAUUCAAAACCCUAACAUUUAUCAAAACAGAACUUAAAGCUUAAAGAACACAUAUUUAUACAUAAUCUUACCUUUAAACUUAUUUCCUCCAACUCCUUUCCUUUUUCCCUUAUUUUCCCCUCUUUUCUCUUCUUCUUCUUCCUCCUCCCUUCUCUCUCACGGUUUGCUCCUUCCAUUUUCAGAUCCCUCUUUCUUUCUUCUUCUUUCUUCUAUUUAUAUUUAUCAACUAUUGUUCAAUUACCACAAUACCCCUCAUUUAAUUAUACUUACUUUUAAGCCUCCAAGGGCUUGGUUGGCCUUUCCUACUAAUUUAUUUGCAAAACAUCACAAUCUCCCCACCUUAUAAAAGUUUCGUCCUCGAAACUUAAAAUUUAAGAACCAAAGUCUUACCAUCAUGAUCAAAUAAAUUAUUUAAAACUUAUCUCUAAAUUGUAUUUCUUAAACUAUCAUUUAAAGUCCACUAAAAACAAAAUCAAUAUAUAGCACCAUGCUUUCGUUGCGCACUCUGAUAUAUCUCAUGCAUAACUUUUCUUAAUUCAUAUCCCUCAAAAUCAAACAACAUACCCUUCAAUUUCUCUUGAAUCAACUUUUCUCAAACAACUUAUCUCAAAUCAUAUCUCUUCAAAAUCAAAACGCAUCCUCAUAAUUUUAUUUUAUUCUUUUAUUUUUAAGCAUCAGGUAAAAGAAUUCAGCCUUAUAGUUGGGGAAUGUCAUGAAGUAACAAAGUCUAAUGAACAACAACAAUUAUGAGCUCAAACUUUCAAGAGGUAUCAAUUAUGGAGGAGAUGUUGAUUGCAAAAGCAAUAAAUGAUGAACAUGAUAAGAUGCAUAUAGUUCUCUCAACCACUAUAACAACUAAAGAGUAAGAUGAAAUGAUAAAGAUUAUAAAGGAGGAACAUAGUUGUUGUGACAAGAUCAAGGCAAUAAUUAUGGUAAAGAUAAUAAAAACCAGCUUGGAAGAAGCUUAGAUGGAUGAAAAGUUGUUACAUGGUUUCUAACAUUACCUCAAAUGAUAGUGUUUCUCUUGAAAUUGAAGCAAAAACAUGUUCAGUAAGGAAAAAAAAAAAUCAAAGAUAACAUGGGACUUAAGAUACCCUACUUGAGAACUGAGGAUGCAUAGUAUAAGCAGUUUGGUGUGCUUCUGUCAUCACAUCUCUUUUCAAAUCAUCCACCUCAGACACACAUAACCUGGAACCAAAUCUCAACACACCAUCUUCAUGGAUAACAAAACCCAGAGCUCUCUCUAACUCCAACUCAUCUCUAAUCUUGCAAAGUCGUUCAUCCUUCAUUUGAGCUACUUUAAUUCGGUCUACCAAGUCUGACAUAGCCUGAAAGUGAGCCAACAAUGCUCCUGAUUCACAAAUCUCAAAACUGACCCUCUCAUCUAAUAAUCAGUGUAACUCUUUAAUCAAGGGUCUCCUCACCUCUUGAAUAUGAGCCAAACUACCCAUAGAUUUUCUGCUUAAGGCAUCGACAACAACAUUUGCCUUACCCGGGUGAUAUUGAAUCAUGCAAUCAUAAUCACUUAACAAUUCCAUCCACCUUCUUUGUCUCAAAUUCAGAUCCUUCUGCUGGAAGAUAUAUUGAAGACUCUUAUGAUCUGAAAAUAUCUCACAUGUCUCCCCAUACAAGUAGUGUCUCCAAAUCUUAAGGGCAAACACUACCGCAGCCAUCUCCAAAUCAUGUGUGGGGUAAUUUUGCUCGUGCUUUUCUCGAGACAUAAGCAAUCACAUUACCGUUCUGCAUCAAAACACAACCCAAACCAAUCCUGGAUGCAUCAUAGUACACGGUAAAACCACCAGACCCUGAAGGUACUGUUAAAAUAGGAGCUGUAAUUAACCUUUCCUUCAACUCCAGGAAACUCUUUUCACAUUCUUCUGACCAUUGAAACUUGACUUUUUUUUUUUGUGUCAACUUAGUCAAUGGAGCAGCAAUUCAGGAAAAAUUCUCCACGAAUCUCUUGUAAUAUCAUGUUAAACCCAUAAAACUCCUAAUCUCAGAUAUUGUAACUGGUCUAGGCCACUGCUUAAUUGCCUCCACUUUUUGUGGAUCAACCUCUAUCCUAUUCUUGGACACUACAUGUCCCAGAAACCCAACAGUUUCUAACCAAAACUCACUCUUCAAGAAUUUUCCAUACAACUGAUGAUCUCUCAGAGUUUAAAGCACCAAUCUCAAAUGCUUUUCAUGUUCCUCUCCACUUCUUGAAUACACCAAGAUGUUAUCAAUGAACACAAUAACAAAUUUAUCAAUAAACGGCCUAAAAACUCUGUUCAUCAUGUCCAUAAAAGCCACUAGUGCAUUCGUUAACCCAAAAGACAACACUAGAAACUCGUAAUGCCCAUAACGAGUCCUAAAGGCAGUUUUAGGAUAUCCUCAUUCCUAAUCCUCAACUGGUGAUACCCCGAUCGCAAAUCAAUCUUUGAGAAACAUUGAGCUCCUUGUAAUUGAUCAAAAAGAUCAUCAAUGCGAGGGAAUGGGUAUCUAUUCUUAAUAGUGACCUUGUUCAACUGCCUAUAGUCUAUACACAUCCUCAUUGAUCCAUCAUUGGGACCUCUAUGUUCACAUCAUGCACAUAAGCCAAAAACCCAUGCAUACCCUUCCGUACCAUCCUUCUCGUACCAUCCUUCUCGUGAUGGCCGGGAAAAUACUAGAUGGAGAUGAUACUUUAUCUUCAUGAAAAGCAAAUUUGUAUCCUCAUUAGGUUUGAAAGCUAUUAUCUUAUUCCAACAAUCAACUAAGACAUGGUGUCUUGACAACUAAUCCAUACCUAAUAUCACAUAAAAUGCUCACUAUUUCUAAAAGUACCAAAUCACCCAAUUUUAGAUAAGUAUAUUAAUCAACAUAUAGAUCAUAAUCAAAAGCCUAUAAUAACAACCUUAAUAAGUAAUUCUCCAAUAACAGUCUCAUCAUCCAUAACUAAUUAAUCAUAUUUCAACUUUCUCCUGCAUUUAAAAUCUAUAUUUCUGAAAUAAAAAUAUUGCGGAAAGAGAUGAGCGUCCACGACUCAAAAAUAAACACACCCAGAAAAAUAUUAUCAAACACAAAUUUUUCAUUGAAUAUUGUCAACGAUAUAUAUAUCAUAGAAAAAGAUUAUUAGACAUAUUUUUCAGAAUACUUACCAAAGAUAACACAUAUAGAUAUAAAUAUGAUGUAAAAUCAGAUUUAAAUACAAAAAUACUAUAAGUUGUUCAAUUACUUAAAAGCACAUACUUACAUUCAAUAUACACUCACUAACAUGAUUUACACAUAUACAUACUUUUAGAGCACUACAAAUCAGAAAAUCAGACAUAGAUGGAGUAUUCAGAUCUGCUUGUAGCCUUUCACACAAAUUAGUGUUGGUGUUCUAACUUGUUUAACUCAAAACUUUAUAUUAGAUUUAUAUGUCAAAAUCACUUAAAAAUUCAUAUAAAAUUUAUAUUUCAAAAUCAUACAAUAACUAAUCAGAUAUACAAACAAAUCAUAUUUAUUUCAGAUAUAAUGUUAUUUUUCUAGUAAUGCAAAAUACAUUUAAAUAAUAUUUAUAAUUAUUACUCACUCCAUAUCUCACACACACAUAUCCACAUACAUAUAUUUCAUAAAUAGUUACAAAAUAUAUUUCCUGCUCAUUUACAUAUAUUAUAUAUACUUCCAAAAAAAUAUUUAUACCAAAUACUUAUGCUUAAGUAUUUUCAAGAAAUAUUAUUACUCAAAUACACGUAUUAUGCAAAUACUUUCAAAGAAAUACUUAUAUCAAAUAUUCACACACACAAGUAUAACAUCACACAUAUGCAAAACAUGUAUACCACAUAUAUUAUAUCCAAGAAUAUACUUAUAUCAAAGCCAUGUAUAAAAAACACACAUAUUAUACAUAGUAUAUCCAUUGAUAUAUUUAUAUCAAACAUUCACAUACAUAUAUAUUUCCCUACAUGUAUAUCAACACGGCAAUAAAAAAAAGUUCAAAGAAGACAAUGAGGAAUCACAAUAAGGCGAGAAGGAUCCUAAGCUCCACAUAUUACAAGUUUUUUUUUUUUAAAAAAAAAGACCAAGUUUUAACAAAACCAAGCUAUAGGGAUUCAACAAGAACCGAGCUCUGAUACCACCUUUGUCACGACCCGAAUCCCGGGUCCGUGACCGGCAACGCAGGAGCGGUGCUGGAAGGACACCCCGCCCGCGCUAAGCCUCAAAACGGACAUAUCAAAAGAGUAAUUUAUUCAAAAAUACGCAGCAUUUCAUAAUCUUCAGAAAUCUUAUAUUAUUCAAAACUGAUGAAACCAAAAGAUAGUUUAAAACUCCUCAUCAGUAAUUAAAACAAAACAAUAAUCCAUAAUACUCAUUACAUUGUCAAAAUCCAAACUUAAUCAAAACAAGGUAAUAGUGGAGCGCCUAAGACAUCGAAUCAAACAGCCUUGAAAGAUAAACAAGGCAUACUGACCCAAAACUGAAGAAGCAGGAACACUCAACAAGGUUCACCUGCUAUCAGAAACUAAGAACCUGAAAUAAUAUUAAGAAUGAGGGGUGAGUUCAACCAACUCAGUGAGGGAAUAAUAAUUAAUAUACAUUUUAGAUAUUCUUGAUAUUAAUAGUUCGCAAGAUCAUCAUUUAUCUUGAUGUACAUAUACAUAUACAUAUACAUAUACAUAUCAUAUACAUACUAAACGUAUCAUCAUAACGUAGUGGACUAUAUGUCAGAGAUCAGAUGACACCCGAAGGUGACCAGAUGACACCCGAAGGUGACCAGAUGACACUCGAAAGUGACCAGAUGACACCCGAAGGUGACCAAUGACACCUGAAGGUGACCACUGUGGGAUGAUCAGUCACCACAGGCUGAUGCCUCUCUCAAUACUAUGUGCACAUAGGCUAACUACUCUCCGUUAGCAUGGAGUUACUGACAAGUCCCAUAUCAAGACAUAAUAGAUAUUCACAUAAUCAUCAAAGAAACGUAUAUCAUAUCAAAUAGGAUUUACUUUGACAGAUUGCGAGUGCAAAUUCAAGAAUAAAUGAGUACUCGGAAAAUAAGCAACAUAUAUAAUUAUUCAAGGAAUUAACGAGUUGUACUCAUUGUAUAAUCAACAUACAUAUUUACUUAUCAUAUAUGCAUAUUAAAGAUUAUCCCACUCACCCGG
rnacentral:lncRNA from 1 species